rnacentral:pre_miRNA from 1 species
UAGGGUCACCAACUUUCCCAGUUUGCCUGAGACUGAGGAAUCUCCUGGGAUGCAGAUGUGCAAUGCCAAUGCCAGGACGGUUCCAGGCAAACUGGGACAGUUGGUGACCUGGGUGCCCA